UCGCUCGUUUGUGACAAUGCUACAGAUCAGCGCACGAGGGUUAUUCAUGCAUGGAUAACAUACCCUCUUCCUGGGGAUAACACUUAGAAAUGAGUGCUAAAACCGAAUGAAGUUCCCUUUGGCAUCAAAGGAGAAUAAAAACAGGGGACCCGAAAGGGCCUUGUGGAAGAGGAGUGGUCCAUGUGGUAUCAGCUAGUUGGUAAGGUAAUGGCUCAUCCACGCCGAGACGCCUAGGUGGACUGAGAGGUUGGCCACCAACAUUGGGACUGAGAACUGCCCAAACUCCUACGGGAGGCUGCAGUCGAGAAUUUUUCGCAAUGGGCGAAAGCCUGACGAAGCGACACCGCGUGUGUGAUGAAGGUCUUAGGAUUGUAAAGCACUUUCGCCUGUGAGUAAAAGUGUACAGAUAACAUUUGUGCAAAUUGAUAGUAUCAGGUAAAGAAGCGCCGGCUAACUGCGUGCCAGCAGCUGCGGUAAUACGUAGGGCGCAAGCAUUAAUCGGAUUUACUGGGCGUAAAGGGUGCGUAGGCGGUCUUACAAGUUGAAUGUGAAAUUACAGGGCUCACCCCUGUAGCAGCAUUCAAAACUGUAAGACUAGAGUGCAAAGAGGGAAAGUGGAAUUCCGCAAGUAGUGGUGAAAUGCGUAGAUAUGCGGAGGAAUACCGGUGGCGAAGGCGGCUUUCUAGCUUGUAACUGACGCUGAGGCACGAAAGCAAGGGUAGCAAACAGGAUUAGAUACCCUGGGUAGUCCC
rnacentral:rRNA from 1 species